GUGGAGAAGGACGCCGAAGGUGGGGCUGAUGACUGGGGUGAAGUCGUAACAAGGUAGCCGUACCGGAAGGUGCGGCUGGAUCACCUCCUAACAGGGAGACAAUAAAUUGAUUGUGAUGUCUAAGUUAUUUACUCUUAGGCCGCAAUCCUGUCACCUUAAGGUCGAUCGGUACCUCAGAUUUUUGAAUUAGUUUUAUAAUUAAUUCUUUGAUUUCAGUUCCUAAACUUGUCUAGGUCACACCCAACAAAGGUUUCUCCUGGGCCAUUAGCUCAGGUGGUUAGAGCGCACCCCUGAUAAGGGUGAGGUCCCUGGUUCAAGUCCAGGAUGGCCCAUUCGUUGUUGGGGGUAUAGCUCAGUUGGUAGAGCGCCUGCUUUGCAAGCAGGAUGUCAGCGGUUCGAGUCCGCUUACCUCCACUGAAAACUAUCCUGAUAACUAAAUUUCGGAGAAAAAUUUGUAGAAGUGGCUUAGAAUUGUCUGUCUGAAAAGAACCUAGCUUCUUGUCAUCUUUUAUAGUUGAUAACAUGCUGGGCUCGCAUGGAUUAAUUCCAUGAGAAUUCAGUAGAACCUUGAAAACUGCAUAGAUUAGAAAGAAUAAAGCAUCUCAUGGAUGCAUAAUUCUGGUUCUUAUAAUUUAGCCUUAAAACUAAAUUACUUAGUUCUAGAAUUCAUGUUUAAUUCUUGAGUAAUAGCCGAGCACAAUUGAUUUUGUGAUUGUAUUUAAGGUCAAGCUACAAAGGGCUCAUGGCGGAUACCUUGGC
rnacentral:misc_RNA from 1 species